UACGGAGGGGGCUAGCGUUGUUCGGAAUUACUGGGCGUAAAGCGUGCGCAGGCGGUUCUCCAAGUCCGUUGUGAAAGCCCCGGGCUCAACCUGGGAAUGGCAGUGGAAACUAGGGGACUGGAAUCUGGCAGAGGGGGGUGGAAUGCCGCGUGUAGCAGUGAAAUGCGUAGAGAUGCGGCGGAACACCGAUGGCGAAGGCAGCCCCCUGGGCUGAGAUUGACGCUCAGGCACGAAAGCGUGGGGAGCAAACAGG
rnacentral:rRNA from 1 species